CGCAAUCCCCGCCACCAGGAUCCUCCGCCUCCCGUGCAUCUUCCUCCUGACUUCCCAGCGUCGCCCCGUUGGCCUCCUCCCGCCUCACCACCGCCAUCCUCGCGCAGCCCGGCCGCUGGCCUACUCCUGCAGCCCCGCCUGAUCCAGCACCACCAGCUACCGCCGUGCGCACCACCCAAGCCAACAGUGGGGUGCUAUAGGCAGGCGGCGGUGUGUGUGGGUGGUCGGGUGGUGUGGGAAUGACCCUACUGCCAUGGGCCUCGCCGCCGUAGCUGGCUGCCCCACCUCCACGACCACCCCAGCCGUCGUCGCGUGUGUGCUUGUUGGAGGCUAAGAGCUGCAAGAGAGGAGAGAUCGUGGCCACCUCGACCACUAGCAGCAGCUUCUGCUGCCACCACCGGAGUGUCAUGGCCGACACAGGUUGCCGUCGUCGUCAUACACGUGCGGCAAAACUCCACUGCAUCGCAUCUGUUUGUGUCUGUCAUCUGAAAAACGGCCAUUGUUGCAGGUCGGCAUCACCUGAUGCACCAGUUCAGCUGCAAAAAAAGAGCAGUAUACGUUGUUGUCUACUCCACUCACUUGUUGAAAUAAAAAAUCCAGCCGGAUCUUGCUACACACAAGGAAGAAAUAGAGAAGAAGCAAAGCAUAGAUCGACCGCUGUUGGUCCACGCCGUGCGCGCCACCCAUGCCGACUGCUGCCUACUGCAACACGUCUUCACCUCCCGCGCAUCUGAUCUGCGCGUCCGUCACCGCCACCGCAACCGCGGUGUGCGGCAGCCGACUCUGGCGAGCUUGUGAACCUGUGAAUCCUACCGUCGCUAAUUUUGUUGUUAUUCACCAUCGCAUAGCUGCACAACAUUCAUUGCAGGCCGAGAAAAAUUCUUGUGGCAGAUACAAAAAAAUGCUUGCGUCAAGUAUAAAAAAUGCUUGUGGAAGA